UACAGAGGUCUCAAGCGUUGUUCGGAUUCAUUGGGCGUAAAGGGCGCGUAGGCGGCGGGGUAAGUCGGGUGUGAAAUCUCAGGGCUCAACCCUGAAACUGCACUCGAUACUGCUCUGCUUGAGGACUGGAGAGGAGACUGGAAUUCACGGUGUAGCAGUGAAAUGCGUAGAUAUCGUGAGGAAGACCAGUGGCGAAGGCGGGUCUCUGGACAGUUCCUGACACUGAGGCACGAAGGCCAGGGGAGCAAACGGG
rnacentral:rRNA from 1 species